rnacentral:lncRNA from 1 species
GCCCCAGCCUCCCUCAUUACACUAAUACACAUUACCUGAUAUGCUUAUAUCCAAUAAGCAUUCAACUUUAUACAGCUUGGAGUUGGAAAAAUAUGCAUAAAAAUGAGGAUAUGAUCAAAAUACUCAGUUGCCUAAUAAUUGUGCACACAGUGUAUAGAGUUAGAUAAAUGAAUCCCAGCAGGUUUGUCCCAACAAAGAGGACCUCCAGCUGGGAUCACUGCACAUCUUUAACUCUUACUCUCAAGGUUGUGGACUGAUCAUAUCUGAUAAACGAUCUUAUCUAGUUUUCUCAGGACACUGUGUCUGAGGAUGUGGUUUCUGUGCACAAUCUUGGUCAUCAGUGAUCAGUUCCUUAUUUUAUUAGAUGAUAGUAUAAAAGCUGGUGCUUCACUUGCUCAGUACCAAACAAAAGAGGAUUGAAGCAACACCGAAGAAGAAGAAGAAGAAAGUAACUCUGAGUCCAACUCUCCUCUUAGUCAUUGUAGUUGAUUUGUUCCCUGACAGCAGCAUCAGUGAUUCUUGUGUUUGUGUUUGAAUCUUUAGUCUCAUCUCAUCGACCUGAACAUGAAGAUCCUGGCUGUCUCUGCUCUGGCUUGUGCCAUCAUGGCUCUGACUGCUGCUGGUGAGUACGUCAAAUAUAAACAAUAUUAUAAACAAAGGAAUUUGUUCUUGCUAGACAAUCUAACUAUUGUGCUGCGUUACACCAUAACCUGUAAUUACAGUGGAGUGGUCUUGGAUGGGUGGACCCUACAUCACCUAUGUUGAGAAAUAUAUGACUUGGGCUGAUGCUGAGGUAAGAGAUGAUUUACAUGGGCUGCAGGGUAUUUUUAAGUUUCAAACUAACAUUCAGGGACCAGAAUGAGAUAUUAAAUUAGAAAAAAAUAAUAAUAAUCCAGAGACACAUACUUUAGGACUGUUAGCAUGACCUGCAGUAAAACGAGCAAUGAAGAAAUGUGUGGCUGUUUUCUAGGAAACGAAGGAGAUGGUUCACUCCUCUGAUUUCUGUCUUCACUUUAGAAGAACUGCAUCUCUCUGGGAGGACACCUGGCAUCAAUGCAUGGACUUUAUCACCGCAAUUCCAUCAAAAACCUGAUCUUUGCCAAAUCCAGUGAUCCAUCAUCCUGGCUCGGGGGUUCUGACAGUGAAGAGGUAUACAUGAUAUUUUUGUUUUGUUAUGGUUCAAUCUGAGCCACCUCAGCUGACUCCUCUCAACGUGGAGGAGCAGAAGCUCUAAUCUGAGUGCCUGCUGAGUGUCCGAGCUCCUUACCCGAUCUCUAAGGCUGAGACCGGACACCCUGAGGAGGAAACCCAUUUCAGCCGCUUGUAUCCGCGAUCUCGUUCUUUCGGUCAUUACCCAAAGUUCAUGACCAUAGGUGAGGAUCGGCACGUAGAUCGACCGGUAAAUCGAGAGUCUCGCCUUACGGCUCAGCUCUUUCUUCACAACGACAGAUCGGUUAAGCGUCCGCAUCACUGAUGACACCGCUCCAAUCCGCCUGUCGAUCUCCCGCUCCAUCCAACCCUCACUCAUGAACAAGAUCCCGAGAUACUUUAACUCCUCCACUUAAGGCAGGACCUCCCCUCCGACCUGGAAAAGGCAAUCUACCUUUUUCCGACUGAGGACCACGGCCUCAGACUUGGAGAUGCUGAUUCGCAUUCCAGCCACUUCACACUCGGCCGCGAACCGCCCCAGCAAGAGCUGAAGGUCACUGCUCGACAAAGCUAGAAGAACCACAUCAUCCGCAAAAAGCAGCGACGCGAUCCUCUGCCUGCCGAACUGGACACCCUCCACCCCCCGGCUGUGCCUAGAAAUUCUGUCCAUAAAGGUUGUGAACAGAACCAAAGUUUUUCUGUGCAGUUGAAAUCAUGCUCAGAAAAAUAAGAAAUGGUAGAAGUCAUGAUGAAGUUGGCAAACUUUGAUGGGGUAAGUAAUGUCUGGAAAAGGAUAAGUCAACAGUGGGAGCAGGAUAAGGACACGCAGUACGAAACAGUCUCAGUGUGACAUGAAGUUUGGGAACUUUAUCAGAAAAACCUUCAUCCAUAGACAGUGUGGUGACGUCAGCAUUGAUGAAUUGAAUAGAUGACAGAUGCUAACCCUGUCGUAGUGACUUCUUCUCAUGGAUCUGUUCUGUUUUCUAGGAGGGAGCUUGGCGCUGGACCGAUGGGACAGCUUUUGACUAUGAUAACUGGUGCCCUGGAGAGCCAAACAACGGACCAGGGGUCGGUCAGAACUGUUUGUACUACAACGCCGGUAAAUAAUAAAUAUAUCUUUGUCUUUUUAAAGUGCAAAAGUGUAUUAAAAUAGUUUUUUUUUUAAUAAAUGUUUUCUUAUUUGUAGUUAAUACUGAAAGUCCACAGUGCCUUACGAUGGUCUCUUCUCCUGUGUUUCUGGUUAGGUCGAAGGUGCUGGGAUGAUUUUCAGUGUGAUGAGCCGUACCCAUCUGUCUGUAUGAAGGAUCAAGAGUCCUGAGACUCUGAGGAGAAGAGGCUGUGAAGCACAGAAACUCCAGUUCAUGUGUUUGAAAACUCAUCUGGUCUCACGUUGAACCUGAGCGCUGUUAAUCUCUUUUUUUCCCGCUUUUCUAUCACUUUAACGCUGCAUAAGGAACGCUGCUUUAUUUUGGUAUCAGGUUAAAACAUUUUAAUUUUUUUUUUUCUGAUCUGGGCAACAAUAAAAGCUUUGAGCAUUUAAAAAAACACGUCUGUGCAACAUGUCAUUUUGUUAUUAAUAGCAUCCAGAGAUCUUACUUUUUAAUAUCUGCUAUCUUCUGAGUUAAUAGUGCAAAUUUUGUCUGGUACAUAUGAGUGAAAAUCAUUGUCAGUAGAUAUACACUCAGUUUAAUCAUCGCCUCAUAGAUGAGCGGACUAUUAGUGUACAUUAGUGGUGAAUGACCCGUAACCCCUCAGAAUAAACAAGAAAGAGUUCAUGUGGAAUAUAUAUAUCACUCUCCAAAGACAAAGGGGUCUAUGACGUUUGGAGGGGGGUAAACAUGUCCAACAUUUACAGACAUUACUGCUGCUGAAAUGUUAUUUCCAUGGAAGAGAAGCUCAUACCGGAAUUUGAAGGAAAAUAUUUGAAAAAAAAAAAUCUGUGCAAACAAAAAACUAGACAUAUAAAGUAAUAAAUAAAAGUGAACUUUGACCCUGAAUCAUGUGUGAGACCUUGUUUAGAUAACAGCCAAAGAUCCCUGGUCCCACAGUUCAGAUCAGGAUUUAUUCCUCUGGACUUCGAGGUUGGUCGGUCCAAAAAUACUCCUGUAGAAAACAGAGGAGGUAAGUUUUGUGAUUGAUGCUCUGAAGAAUUCUUACAACUU